AGUACGACCGCAAGGUUAAAACUCAAAUGAAUUGACGGGGACCCGCACAAGUAGUGGAGCAUGUGGUUUAAUUCGAAGAUACGCGCAGAACCUUAUCAACACUUGACAUGUUCGUCGCGACUCUAAGAGAUUAGAGUUUUCGGUUCGGCCGGACGAAACACAGGUGCUGCAUGGCUGUCGUCAGCUCGUGUCGUGAGAUGUUGGGUUAAGUCCCGCAACGAGCGCAACCCUCACUUUUAGUUGCCAUCAUUAAGUUGGGCACUCUGAAAGAACUGCCAGUGAUAAGCUGGAGGAAGGUGGGGAUGACGUCAAGUCCUCAUGGCCCUUACGUGUUGGGCUACACACGUGCUACAAUGGUAUCUACAACAGGAAGCAAGACUGCGAGGUCAAGCAAAUCCUUAAAAGAUACCUCAGUUCGGAUUGCACUCUGCAACUCGAGUGCAUGAAGCUGGAAUUACUAGUAAUCGUGGAUCAGCGUGCCACGGUGAAUGCGUUCCCGGGUCUUGUACACACCGCCCGUCACACCAUGGGAGUUGGUUCUACCUUAAGGCAAGGUUUAAAACCCUUGACCAUGGUAUAGUCAGCGACUGGGGUGAAGUCGUAACAAGGUAACC
rnacentral:rRNA from 1 species